GAGGGGUCACCGUUGGGGGGAAUGAAUGGUGGGGGGAGGACCCAGCCCCUGGCCGAGCCCUUAGAUGGCUCAGCAGCCGCCUUCGUAAGGCUUAUCACGGAGCGCCCCCUCCACGGAUCCAAAUGUUCCUCCUUUGGGACCAGCAGUCUCUGACCUGCGGGCCUUUGCCCCGGGCGUGCACGCCCUCCCCACCGAGGCCCCGGCCCAGGACCGCUGUGUAGGUGCGCUAGUGAGGGGGCCCCUUGUUUGUCUCUCUGCUCUGUACCCCGUACAGGAGAGUUCGGAGGAGGGACGGCGACUGCACAGAUGACCGCCGAGCUUCCAUUCCAUCCACAUGGGCUUCCUCUGCCCUCCUUUAGCCCAGGCCUCGGCACGGAGUUAAGGAAGGCUGCAAAGGGGCAGGACCGGAGCUCUCUCCAGGCCAACGUCCGCCCGGCGGGGGGGGUCCCGGAGGGCACAGGAGAGGCCGGAGCCUUGGCUUGCUGAAGACCCAGGAGUUCUUCCCUGGGUAAAAAUAGCCUGGAGGAGCCAGCGAGCUGAAUGAGCAGUUCCGGGCCAGCCCCUCCGGAUGGGCCAGGCUCAAGGUCUGCCCCUUCAAAUAUUCAUGAGGCCGCCUCCGGCCUUCCUCUUAAUGGCAGGCGGCUCUCCCAGGAAUCCAUCACAUGCCCCUGCCUGGCCGGGCUUCCUUAAAGGGCCAGCGCUGGACAAAAGCCGGGAAGCCAUGAAGGUGCCCAGGGAGGCUCUCUAUGGGGGGGGGCGCCGGUCUCAGCAUCUUCUGCCCCCCCCCCCCGCAGGUGGAUGGAUGGGUCACGUGACUCAGACAGUCACAGAAAGGGCUCGUUUGUCACAAGGUGGUUCUUUUCCUCCCGAGGAGCAGACGAGGAGCGGAUUCACGCCCAGAGAGCUACAGUGGCAGACCUGGCAGGGCCCGGGACGGCGCGUCCCCUCUCCCUGCGCUUCUACGGAGGGGCCAGCGAGGCCCGGAAGGCUGAAGGAGCCAGCGGGAGAGAGGAGGAACCCAGGCCGUGCGGCUUCCUCACAGAAGGCCUGGCACGGGGCGUCAGACUCAGUUUCCCCAUCUGUAAAAUGAGGGGGUUGGACUAGCUGGCCUCUGAAGUCCCCUCCAGCUCUGUCCGGCCCGUGACCCGAAGUCACUCCCUCUUCCGGAGCCUGGUUCCUGCAGGAGACCCAACAGUGAGCUCAUCCCUGAAGCGCUUCUGUGUGUUGCCCUUGGGUUUGGGGAGAAAAGGAACAAAUAAAAAGGAUUUCUGCCCUCUGGGUGCUCCGUCUGGGUCCUGGGGUCACUGGGGUCACGAGGAGGCCCUAUAGACAUCCACUGCACCCCCAUUUUACAGAUGAAGAAACUGAGGCCGCGGGGACGCUUCCUCUCCACGCCCGACUCCCCGCCUGGGGACCCCGAGGAGCCCUCAGGGCUCGCCCCAUCCCAGCCCUCUUCCGCGGGCAAACCCAGGGCAAACCCAGGGCGAGGCUGCCCAGGACGGGCUUCGCCCGCGACCCGUCCUCACAGCUCUUCGGGCCUGGCCACAGCUGGCUCCCAGCGAGAUGUGGCUUGUUCCGUGCCUGGACGCUGUAGCCCAGGACGUGCUGUUGGGUCACUCUCAGGUUGCCUUCUCCCGGGAUGCCCGAUGGCGAUGGCAGACUCUGUCCCGCGCGGGCGGCUCUUCCGGGCACCAGAGAGUCCCGGCCGCUCCCUCCCGGCCCUCCAAAGGACCGAGGCGUAGGGAGGGCCGGCCGCGGUGGAACCCAGCCAAGGGCCGCUCUGGACCAGACGGAACGGGACGGCGGGGCGUCUCCCAGGGCGACGGGAUGCUCACUGCCUCGGAGGAGAGGGAGAUCCGCCAGGCGGAGGCCCCGGGAAAGGGCCCCGGCUUGGGCAGCUCGGGGAGAGCCGUUUCAGGUCGGAGUCAGAUGGGAAGGGUGAGAGGGGAGAGAGGGGAGAAAGCGGAGGCCUUCCUCCCUUCCCUCUCGUAGAAGCAGCCCCUAGACUCCUUCAAAGGAAGACAGAAUGCUUAGCAAGGGAGCCUUGGAGCCAGAGGGACUGGGUUCCAAUCCUGCCUCGGACACAUCCCGCUUGUGCUCCCUUGGGCAAGUCACUUCCUUGCGCCUGAAGCAACUCCCUAAGCCUACACAUUUCAGAAGGAUGCUGGGAGUUUCCUCAUCCAGAAGCUCCUCCUACUAAUCCAGGCCCAGGCCUGGAGCCUGUCUCUAGAGAAGGGCAGGUCUCUUGAGAGCCAUCAAGCAUCUACGCGGAACUCUUCUAGACUCUUCCACCCUAGUCAGGGAAGACCACCUAAGAAAGAGAGGGUCCAGGGAAGGCCACGUGAGAGGGGGCGCGGAGAGAAGGCUUGGGGAAGAGGACGGGACUCCCCUCAGGACCGGCACACUGCCAGGCACACUGCAGGCGCCGAGCACAACGGCUGUUGCCGUGGCAUCGCUGGCUCAGUGUCCAACUCUUGGGGACCUCCUUUGGGGUUUUCUUGGCCAGAUACCGAAGAGGCGGCACAUCUCUUCCUCCAGAUCGCUGACAGAUGAGGAAACUGAGGCAAACAGCAGCAAGUGACUUGCUCAGGGUCACACACCAAGCAAUUGUCAGGGGCUGGAUCUGAACUCACUUCAAGGGAGGAAUCUCUCUACCCCUCUCGAUGCGGUCAGCCCAUCAAAGCCUGGCCCAAAGUCCCACCUCCUUCAGGAAUCCCUCCAGGAUGCCUCCGGCCCGCAGAGCCCUGGAGCUCCCAUCCCACCUCGGGCACCAUCCGCGCUCAGACACAAGGUGAGGAGGGGCUGGAGGCCUCUUUCCUCCACGGUGCACGGAUGUGAUUUUCCACCCUUAAAGGCUCGAUGCCGAGAACUGUGCCCAGGGGCUCUGGGGUGCAAAGUCAGCAUGCCUGACCCGUCCUCGCCGCCUCAUCGGAGCUGCCGGAAAGAACUCGGCCACCACGGCCCCUUUCUACAGGCAGGGAAACUGAGUCUCCGGAGAGGGCGCGGCUCACCCAACGCCGCCCAGGGAGGGCGUGGCACAGGCCUAAUUUGGGCCCAAGUCUUUGGUCUCCAAAGCCAAGGUUCUCGCACACAGCGCCGGCCUCCUCCACUUUAUAGAGCCCACCAGCGGACUUGGGAGUUCAAAGUGACUUGACUUGGCCUCUGGCUUUAGACAACACAAGCCACCAGAACGUCCCCAAAGCCCAGUGGGGGCCCCCAAAUACCCGUCCCAGCCAUAGCCAGCGCCGCCCCUCUUCUCGGCACAGGAAGCCCUGUGGUCGGGUGGUGCGACGAGGAAAAGGAGGCUGGUGGCCUCGCCACUGUCCUGAACCCCACCAUCCCUCCCACAGACUCCCCCACCAAGCCUGAAGGCCCCCCGGAGCCUUGGGGAGGGGCUCGGUGCGCAGCUAUAGCCCAGGGGGAGGCCUGGCGAAGGCAAGAGACGGGAAGCCCAGUGAUAGGGAAGUCUGCUCGGGUCUGAAGCCUGACCUUGUUUCUCUCAGAUCUGCAAGGUCUGCGGAAUCCUUGAGUGUUUCUAGGUCCCCGGGGCCCCAACUUCAAACUUGGGCAUCUCGCUGCCUUUCGUGCCUCCCUUCCUCUUUCUUAGAGAAAUGGUCCUGGGGGAGGGGGACCAGGAAAACAGUGAGAACGAGGCCGGAGGCACAAAUCUCGCCAUUUAACGUGAUCACGAUCAAUACUGCUCAUGGCUUAAGAGCCCCCUGCCCUGGGGUGCCACGGAACGCCAUGGCCAGCCUCCUGGCACAGGCAGUAUCAGCGGGCAGAGGAGGCAAUCCAUCUCCUGCACUAUUAGGGCUUCCUGGAAAGCCAUUCAUCCUUCGCUAUCCCCUUUGGAGGCUUCUCUCAGAAUUCCCAGGCUUUCCCUGUAUUCUUGAAGCAUUUCUCUGGUUUGAACAGUAUUCUUCCUAAGCUCUUCUUUGUCAUUGGAUUUAGAACUGGGAAGGGUACCUUGGGGGCCAGCUGGCCUCAAUCUAUCAUCUUUCAGAUGAGGAAACGGAGGCCCAGGAAGGUAAGAUUUGAACCCAGAUCUUCUGACAAAUCUGAUGGACUCUGGGAGUCAGGGACAAAGGCUUGGGCUCAAAUAUUGACGUGGAUAUUUCCCCGCUGGGUCACUCUCCGAGCCUUCCCUUCCCUGGGCCUUUGAUUUUUUCAUCUCAAAGAUGAAAAGUGUGGACGCCAUGCUCUCUACGCUUCCCGCCAGUUCUAAAUCUCAGAUCUUUCCUGAAGAAGGCUCGUUCGUGCUCCACUCCCCACCCCCAGCUGCACUCGCAUUCUGGUACUCCAGACCCGGGAAGUUUACGUCUAUGAAGAAGCAGGAGAGGCAGCUGGGUAGCACAGCGGAUAAAGUGCCAGGCCUAGAGGGCAGGAGGGACGGGUUCAAAUUGGGCCGCAGACGUUUCUGAAGUAUAGACCCUGGGCCAGUCACUGCAUUCCAGUCGCCCAGCCCUUGCCGUUCUUCUUUCCUAAAACUGAUACUAAGACAGAAGGGGAGGCAGGGGAGAAGGAGGCACCUGGGAGUUGGGGGAGCACUGAAUGGGGAGAGAAACGUGGGAAGAGCGGGGACAUUAGAACCAAUAGAGUCAUGGGCUGCUGCCCAAUGAUAAUCACCCCGUCUGCUCUGUGCCUUGGUUUCUAUCCCUGACGUUUCCCAGGCCCGCUCCCCAGGCUUUAUCCUCCUUUACAUCAAAAAGAGAGAAAACAGUUCAGCAAAACUAACCAAGACAUAAAAAGCCUGACAUUGCCCAGGCAGGGUUCCAUAGCCAGAGUCCCCCGGCCUGCGAGAAGAGAAGGGAAGAGAAUCCACUGGUAGCUGCACCCUGCCUGGCCCUCUGAUGGCGGCUCCAUCCCUCAUUCAUGCUAAAAGCACUGGCGGAGGAGCCAAGCCUGCACCAGAGCAUCCUGCCUCCGACAAGAGAGGAUGGAGAGGAGAAGGAGCCUGCCCACAGGAAGCUCACCUUCUGGCUGGGAGGGCACCCACCAAACAAAAGGCAAAUCAAGCCCAGAGUGGGGCUGAGAGAACCACAGCAGCACUGAAUUCCAGGACCCAGUUGCUGGAGCUAGCUAACUGUGGUAGAAAUUCCAAGGAGAAAGUGGGGAAAGGGGGCUGAGGUUCCAGAAGGCUUCCUGGUGGAGGAGGCAACUGAGCUAGCCUUGGAAGGCUGGGAAGGGUUUGGUGAGCCAGCAGCAGAGAGGACAAUCUGUAGGGCCACCUGUGCCCUCUGCCAGGGGCCCUGAGGCUGGCCACCACACAGCAAAGAGACUGUGGCUGUGCGUGGGACCUGGGCCGGCCACGAGGGCCCCUUCCUUCAGCACCUGGAUUCUGUUGGACAGUUCCCAGGCAGUGGCUGGAAUGGGAAGGAGGAGGGGAAAUGGCUGGGAUACGGGGAGGGUAAUCUCCAGGCCAAAUCCCUCUGGAUGAUGCCUCUUCAAGGCUGUGAGGAGGAGCGAGGGGAGGAAGGGAGAGAUCUGAGUCCAUUCCUGUACACAGGGCCCCCUUGGGUGCUCUCGGCCGGCUCUGCACCUUCCCUCAGAGGGUCCAAGAUGGGGCUGAGGCAGGGCGGACAAUAUCCAUGCACCAUCUCUCUCCCCUUCUCCCACUCCCACAGGGGCUCUGCUCACCCCAGCCUGGGCCCUCAGUCUGGCUCCUGGGCAAGCAAGGGGUGGCCUAAUUCUUUCUCCAGAUGCCUGUCUUCAAGGCUCUUGCUGACAGUCGUCUUUAUAUUCACUUCAUGAUUUCCCACAAUGGCUAUUCCAGAUCUUUCCCAUCAUCCUGAAAUGGAAACUCAGCACCCUGCAGAGCACCUCACCCAGUGAACAGAGAGGCAUGAGCCCCGCUCAACUCCUCCUGCCCCUCCAAGCUUUCUGCACCCUUCUCCAGGCUCCUGCUCUCCCUGUUCCUCAGGGCUGCCUCUCUCUGGGCUCCAUCCAUUACCCCCAAUCUCCCUGCCUCCAAGGAUGCCUCCCAUCCGGUCCCCCUCCUGGGACAAGAUUUACGUGCCCAAAGCAAUAAGUUGGAGCCCGUUACUUCCCUGCUCUAAAACCUUACUAGCUACCCAUUGCCAAACAACUAUGGAGUUAGGAAGUUGGAUCAUGGCCCACGGUCACCCCUAGAAUAGGUGGCAAAGCCAGAAUUCAAACCCAGGUCCUUGGACUCCAAACGCAGGCUUCUUCCCACCGUCCCAAACCCCUUAGCCUGGUAUUCAAGACCCACCCUAAUCUUGCCCCAUCUACCCAGCCUUCGAGGCCCGGCUCAGUGGCUACUUUUCUCAGAAAGCUUUCCCUGCUUUUCCCCACAAACACUUUCCUCAAAGAACCCUCAUUCUUCAUCACAGAGAACUCCCACCAUCUGGGGCAUUUCUAUCGCUUCUCCUAUUAAAUGUAUUGAUAACGGAA